rnacentral:rRNA from 1 species
UGGGGAAUAUUGCACAAUGGGCGCAAGCCUGAUGCAGCCAUGCCGCGUGUAUGAAGAAGGCCUUCGGGUUGUAAAGUACUUUCAGCGGGGAGGAAGGCGAUAAGGUUAAUAACCUUGUCGAUUGACGUUACCCGCAGAAGAAGCACCGGCUAACUCCGUGCCAGCAGCCGCGGUAAUACGGAGGGUGCAAGCGUUAAUCGGAAUUACUGGGCGUAAAGCGCACGCAGGCGGUCUGUCAAGUCGGAUGUGAAAUCCCCGGGCUCAAGCGGGGAACUGCAUUCGAAACUGGCAGGCUAGAGUCUUGUAGAGGGGGGUAGAAUUCCAGGUGUAGCGGUGAAAUGCGUAGAGAUCUGGAGGAAUACCGGUGGCGAAGGCGGCCCCCUGGACAAAGACUGACGCUCAGGUGCGAAAGCGUGGGGAGCAAACA